rnacentral:rRNA from 1 species
CUCUGUGACUCCUACGGGAGGCAGCAGUGGGGAAUAUUGCACAAUGGGGGAAACCCUGAUGCAGCCAUGCCGCGUGUGUGAAGAAGGCCUUCGGGUUGUAAAGCACUUUCAGUAGGGAGGAAGGUAGUGUAGUUAACACCUGCAUUAUUUGACGUUACCUACAGAAGAAGCACCGGCUAACUCCGUGCCAGCAGCCGCGGUAAUACGGAGGGUGCGAGCGUUAAUCGGAAUUACGUGGGCGUAAAGCGCAUGCAGGCGGCCUGUUAAGUCAGAUGUAGAAAGCCCCGGGGCUUAACCUCGGAAUUGCAUUUAGAAACUGGCAGGCUAGAGUCUUGUAGAGGGGGUAGAAUUUCAGGUGUAGCGGUGAAAUGCGUAGAGAUCUGAAGGAAUACCAGUGGCGAAGGCGGCCCCCUGGACAAAGACUGACGCUCAGAUGCGAAAGCGUGGGGAGCAAACAGGAUUAGAUACCCUGGUAA